rnacentral:rRNA from 1 species
AGAGUUUGAUCCUGGCUCAGAUUGAACGCUGGCGGCAGGCUUAACACAUGCAAGUCGAGCGGUAGCACAGGGGAGCUUGCUCCCCGGGUGACGAGCGGCGGACGGGUGAGUAAUGUCUGGGAAACUGCCUGAUGGAGGGGGAUAACUACUGGAAACGGUAGCUAAUACCGCAUAACGUCGCAAGACCAAAGAGGGGGACCUUCGGGCCUCUUGCCAUCAGAUGUGCCCAGAUGGGAUUAGCUAGUAGGUGGGGUAAUGGCUCACCUAGGCGACGAUCCCUAGCUGGUCUGAGAGGAUGACCAGCCACACUGGAACUGAGACACGGUCCAGACUCCUACGGGAGGCAGCAGUGGGGAAUAUUGCACAAUGGGCGCAAGCCUGAUGCAGCCAUGCCGCGUGUGUGAAGAAGGCCUUCGGGUUGUAAAGCACUUUCAGCGAGGAGGAAGGUGGUGAACUUAAUACGUUCAUCAAUUGACGUACUCGCAGAAGAG